AACGGCCGUACCAUGCUGAAUAUACCGGUUCUCGUUAGAUCACCGAAGUCAAGCAUCAUUGGGCGCGGUCAGUGCUUGGGUGGCCGA